GUCAGGACAACCCCUGGCUGACACCAUCGUGAAGCUUUCCCGGUUCCUCAGCGUAUCAGAAAUCGAUAACAUUAGAAGCUACUCCUCAAUGCUGUAUCAUAUGCUGCAAACCAGGAAGACUGCUGUAGCAGUUGACUUGAACUCCAUUAUAGAAUAUGCUGAUCUGCUGUACACUGAUGGCGAGGGAUGGGAACUCUUCGAUGCCAUUAUGGAGUAUGAACAAUAUCCUAAUGGUACAAGAAACGCAAAACAGCUUUGUGAAUUUAUAUUCGACUGUUUUAUGAGACCGUACAGAAGACUCAGCCAUUUAGAGC